rnacentral:rRNA from 1 species
UGAGGAAUUUUCUGCAAUGGGCGAAAGCCUGACAGAGCAAUAUCGCGUGGGGGAUAUAAAGGCCUAUGGGUUGUAAACCUCUUUCUUCAAGGAAGAAGAUCUGACGGUACUUGAAGAAUAAGCAUCGGCUAACCCUGUGCCAGCAGCCGCGGUAAUACAGGGGAUGCAAGUGUUAUCCAGAUUUAUUUGGCGUAAAGCGUCUGUAGGUUGAUUUAUAAGUCUUUUGUUAAAACUUUAAGCUUAACCUAAAAUCUGCAAAGGAAACUGUUUAUCUUGAGUGUAGUAGAGGUAAAGAGAAUUUUCAGUGGAGUAGUGAAAUGUGUAGAUAUUGGAAAGAAUACCAAUGGCGAAGGCACCUUACUAGGCUAACACUGACACUCAAAGACGAAAGCUAGGGGAGCAAACGGG